AGCGCGGUUGUAGUGUUCGCCGCUGCUCUCCGAGCUUCGCGAUGCCGCCCAAGGACGACAAAAAGAAGAAAGACGCCGGAAAGUCGGCCAAGAAAGACAAAGACCCAGUGAACAAAUCCGGGGGCAAGGCCAAAAUGAAGGACUUAUCAAACUGGUUUCAAAGCACAGAGCUCAAGUAAUUUACACCAGAAAUACCAAGGGUGGAGAUGCUCCAGCUGCUGGUGAAGAUGCAUGAAUAGGUCCAAACAACUGUACAUUUGGAAAAAUAAAACUUUAUUAAAUCAAAAAAAAAAAAAAAAAAA